rnacentral:SRP_RNA from 1 species
GCUGGGCAUGGUGGCGGGUGCCUGUAAUCCCACCUACUUGGGAGGCUGAGACAGGAGAAUCACUUGAACCCAGGAGGCGGAGGUUGCAGUGAGCUGAGAUUGUGCCAUUGCACUCCAGCCUGGGUGACAGAGCGAGACUCUGUCUCAA